GGGUCAGCGUUCAACAGACACGUAGGACUCCAAUCACGGGCCACCUACCCACUAUAAGGGACAGCCUGGGCUUCCUUCACAUCCGGUGAACUGUCACCCUUACAAGAACCCUCCUUCCCACAAUGGCAGGAGACAAAGCAGAAGCCUUGAGGAGGAGUCUCAGAAGGACCCUGCCAAAGGGACACCCAUCCUUUCUCUGGAAGAGAACAGAGCCUGCUGCCCUAGUCAUCUCUUCUGAACAUUCCAGAAGGCAGUGCAGCAUAGCAGCCCCAGACGGACCUGCGAUCAAACGCUGCUAACAAGCUAUGCAACUUAGGUCAAAGCACGCAACCUCUCUCAGUUCGUUUCCUCCUCUGUAAAAUGACAAUAAU